GAUGAACGCUAGCGGCAGGCUUAACACAUGCAAGUCGAGGGGCAGCGUGAUGAAGUAGCAAUACGGAUUUGACGGCGACCGGCGCACGGGUGCGUAACGCGUAUGUAACCUACCUUUAACAGGGGGAUAACACUGAGAAAUUGGUACUAAUACCCCAUAACACUUUGAGAGGCAUCUCUUGGAGUUGAAAGUUCCGGCGGUUAAAGAUGGACAUGCGUUGUAUUAGCUAGAUGGUGAGGUAACGGCUCACCAUGGCGACGAUACAUAGGGGUUCUGAGAGGAAGGUCCCCCACACUGGAACUGAGACACGGUCCAGACUCCUACGGGAGGCAGCAGUGAGGAAUAUUGGUCAAUGGGGCGCAAGCCUGAACCAGCCAAGUAGCGUGAAGGAUGACUGCCCUAUGGGUUGUAAACUUCUUUUAUACGGGAACAAACUCCGGUACGUGUACCGGUCUGCGUGUACCGUAUGAAUAAGCAUCGGCUAACUCCGUGCCAGCAGCCG
rnacentral:rRNA from 1 species